rnacentral:rRNA from 1 species
UACGGAGGGGGCAAGCGUUAUUCGGAAUUACUGGGCGUAAAGGGCGCGCAGGCGGGUUGUUAAGUGAGAAGUGAAAGGCCUGGGCUUAACCGAGGAAUGGCUUCUCAUACUGGCAACCUAGAGUGUGGGAGAGGAGAGCGGAAUUCCCGGUGUAGCGGUGAAAUGCGUAGAGAUCGGGAGGAACACCAGUGGCGAAGGCGGCUCUCUGGACCACAACUGACGCUGAGGCGCGAAAGCGUGGGUAGCAAACAGG